rnacentral:rRNA from 1 species
UACAUGGGGUGCAAACGUUGCUCGGAAUUACUGGGCGUAAAGCGUGCGCAGGCGGCGCCGCAAGUCAGGCGUGAAAUCCCCGAGCUUAACUUGGGAAUGGCGCUUGAAACUACGGUGCUGGAGUGUGGCAGAGGGAGGUGGAAUUCCACGUGUAGCGGUGAAAUGCGUAGAGAUGUGGAGGAACACCGAUGGCGAAGGCAGCCUCCUGGGCCAACACUGACGCUCAUGCACGAAAGCGUGGGGAGCAAACAGG